CGGAGGUUAGUGAUCAAUUAGGGCUUCGAGGGGUUGUGAUGGAUAAUCUCGUAGAUGCACUGAGCAGUGCAUAUCAAGACUUUGUUGCAGCAUCAGCUGUUGUACUUGAAUCAAAGGAGAGUUCUAAUGGUCAGAAAACAGCAGCAACUGAUGCUGCAUUAGAAAACUUUAAGCAAAAGUGGGAGUUGUUCAGGGUUGCGUGUGAUCAGGCGGAGGAGUUUGUGGAAUCGGUUAAGCAAAGAAUUGGCUCCGAGUGUCUUGUGGAUGAGGCUACAGGCACUGUUUCAGGGAAGCCUGGGCAACCAGCUGCAAGUGGCCUUCAACCCAUUAGUGCUGUUAGGUUGGAGCAGAUGAGUAAAGCUG
rnacentral:misc_RNA from 1 species